AGAGUUUGAUCCUGGCUCAGAUUGAACGCUGGCGGCAUGCCUUACACAUGCAAGUCGAACGGUAACAGGUCUUCGGAUGCUGACGAGUGGCGAACGGGUGAGUAAUACAUCGGAACGUGCCCGAUCGUGGGGGAUAACGCAGCGAAAGCUGUGCUGAUACCGCAUACGAUCUACGGAUGAAAGCGGGGGAUCGCAAGACCUCGCGCGGACGGAGCGGCCGAUGGCAGAUUAGGUAGUUGGUGGGAUAAAAGCUUACCAAGCCGACGAUCUGUAGCUGGUCUGAGAGGACGACCAGCCACACUGGGACUGAGACACGGCCCAGACUCCUACGGGAGGCAGCAGUGGGGAAUUUUGGACAAUGGGCGAAAGCCUGAUCCAGCCAUGCCGCGUGCAGGAUGAAGGCCUUCGGGUUGUAAACUGCUUUUGUACGGAACGAAAAAGUCUUCUCUAAUACGGGGGGCGAAUGACGGUACCGUAAGAAUAAGCACCGGCUAACUACGNNNNNNNNCGCCGCGGUAAUAC
rnacentral:rRNA from 1 species